rnacentral:rRNA from 1 species
UACGUAGGGUGCAAGCGUUGUCCGGAAUUAUUGGGCGUAAAGAGCUCGUAGGCGGUCUGUUGCGUCGGCUGUGAAAACCCGGGGCUCAACUCCGGGCCUGCAGCCGAUACGGGCAGACUAGAGUUCGGCAGGGGAGACUGGAAUUCCUGGUGUAGCGGUGAAAUGCGCAGAUAUCAGGAGGAACACCGAUGGCGAAGGCAGGUCUCUGGGCCACUACUGACGCUGAGAAGCGAAAGCAUGGGGAGCAAACAGG